AUUGAACGCUGGCGGCAGGCCUAACACAUGCAAGUCGAGCGGAUGAAGGGAGCUUGCUCCUGGAUUCAGCGGCGGACGGGUGAGUAAUGCCUAGGAAUCUGCCUGGUAGUGGGGGAUAACGUCCGGAAACGGGCGCUAAUACCGCAUACGUCCUGAGGGAGAAAGUGGGGGAUCUUCGGACCUCACGCUAUCAGAUGAGCCUAGGUCGGAUUAGCUAGUUGGUGGGGUAAAGGCCUACCAAGGCGACGAUCCGUAACUGGUCUGAGAGGAUGAUCAGUCACACUGGAACUGGGACACGGUCCAGACUCCUACGGGAGGCAGCAGUGGGGAAUAUUGGACAAUGGGCGAAAGCAUGAUCCAGCCAUGCCGCGUGUGUGAAGAAGGUCUUCGGAUUGUAAAGCACUUUAAGUUGGGAGGAAGGGCAGUAAGUUAAUACCUUGCUGUUUUGACGUUACCAACAGAAGAAGCACCGGCUAACUUCGUG
rnacentral:rRNA from 1 species